AUACGGAGGAUGCGAGCGUUAUCCGGAUUUAUUGGGUUUAAAGGGUGCGCAGGCGGCCAUUUUAGUCAGCGGUUAAAUCGUGGGGCUCAACCCCAUUCUGCCGUUGAUACUGGGUGGCUUGAUUGCGGUCGAGGUUGGCGGAAUUCGUUGUGUAGCGGUGAAAUGCAUAGAUAUGACGAAGAACACCGAUUGCGUAGGCAGCUGACCAGACCGCAAAUGACGCUCAUGCACGAAAGUGCGGGGAUCGAACAGGAUUAGAUACCCUGGUAGUCCGCACAGUAAACGAUGAAUACUUGUUUUCGGCGAUAUAAUGUCGGAGGCAAAGCGAAAGCGAUAAGUAUUCCACCUGGGGAGUACGCCGGCAACGGUGAAACUCAAAUGAAUUGACGGGG
rnacentral:rRNA from 1 species